AUGCUGCUCUGCUCACUGAUCUGCAAUAAACCUGUAAGAUGCACAAACACAACACUGCGGAAAGGAAACCCGGCAGCAGCUCUCAGACGCUCGAGAAAAGGAGUCUCGGAGCACUCCCAGCACGGCAGGGAUGACUUGGCACUGCUACCCCUCUCUGACAGACCCCGGGCACUGCCAGCACCGUCCCCAGCGGUGUCCCUGUCCCGGGCACUGGGGCACAUCGUGUGGCACGCGAGGACUUUCACCACUGAGACACCGACACCGCGCGAGCCAACUCCCGCCCCCGGCCGAGAGCCGCCAGCCCCCCGCGCCGGGGCCGCCUCCUCCCCGGGCCCCGACCGCGCCCGCUCCCCCGCGCUCCGCUACCUCCUCCCCGGCCCCGCCGCACGAUCCGCACGCCCUACGGUGCAGCAGUCCCGCGGCUGCCCCGCGCCCUGCCCGGCCCAGCUCCCCACAGCUCCGGCCCGGGCAUCGCUGCGGAGCGCGGGGCCACGGCCGGGAGGCGCCGACCCCCCUCCCCGCAUUCCGGGGGCUCCGGACGGCGCCAGGACCGGUGCCGGCGGCUCAAACCGGGCCAGGAGGGUGGGGUGGUGCCCGCUGCCCCCGGCGGCACGGGCGGGGCGGGCGCGGGGCUCGGAUGGCGCCGGGACGGGGCGGAUGCGGCGCGACCGCGGCUCCGGCCCCACUCACCGAGAGCGCGAUGGCGGAAAAGGAAGAGCCCGGGCCGCGCGGGGUGAUGGGAGGGCCAUCGGCAGGGGGAGAUAUCGCGAGACUUCGCGCCUCAAACCUGGCCCUCCCCAUUGGCCGAAGCCCCGCGCCGCACUUCCGGAGCGACGCCGCCGCCCGGCUUCCAUAGAAACGGGGACGCUUCGCGCGCGUACGGAGGCGCGUAAGAGACAAAAAGCUGCUAUCCGCCGGGCAGAGCGGGCGGCCCGGGGCAGCAGAGUUGCUACACGGGGACACCGCGACACGGGGACACCGCGACACGGGGACACCGCGACACGGGGACACCGCGACACGGGGACACCGCGACACGGGGACACCGCGACACGGCGCUGCGGUGAGCAAAGAGCCGGCUGA
rnacentral:lncRNA from 1 species